GUUAAAAUAAUUUAAUUAAAAUAUUGGUUUUGUAAACCAGCAUUGGAUGAUCCUUUUAACA
rnacentral:tRNA from 1 species